rnacentral:rRNA from 1 species
GAUGAACGCUGGCGGCGUGCUUAACACAUGCAAGUCGAACGGGAAACCUUUUAUUGAAGCUUCGGCAGAUUUAGCUGGUUUCUAGUGGCGGACGGGUGAGUAACGCGUGGGUAACCUGCCUUAUACAGGGGGAUAACAACCAGAAAUGGUUGCUAAUACCGCAUAAGCGCACAGGACCGCAUGGUCCGGUGUGAAAAACUCCGGUGGUAUAAGAUGGACCCGCGUUGGAUUAGCUAGUUGGCAGGGUAACGGCCUACCAAGGCGACGAUCCAUAGCCGGCCUGGGAGGGUGAACGGCCACAUUGGGACUGAGACACGGCCCAGACUCCUACGGGAGGCAGCAGUGGGGAAUAUUGCACAAUGGGGGAAACCCUGAUGCAGCGACGCCGCGUGAAGGAAGAAGUAUCUCGGUAUGUAAACUUCUAUCAGCAGGGAAGAUAGUGACGGUACCUGACUAAGAAGCCCCGGCUAACUACGUG